ACACGUGGGUAACCUGCCCUUAAGUGGGGGAUAACAUUUGGAAACAGAUGCUAAUACCGCAUAGAUCCAAGAACCGCAUGGUUCUUGGCUGAAAGAUGGCGUAAGCUAUCGCUUUUGGAUGGACCCGCGGCGUAUUAGCUAGUUGGUGAGGUAAUGGCUCACCAAGGCGAUGAUACGUAGCCGAACUGAGAGGUUGAUCGGCCACAUUGGGACUGAGACACGGCCCAAACUCCUACGGGAGGCAGCAGUAGGGAAUCUUCCACAAUGGACGCAAGUCUGAUGGAGCAACGCCGCGUGAGUGAAGAAGGCUUUCGGGUCGUAAAACUCUGUUGUUGGAGAAGAAUGGUCGGCAGAGUAACUGUUGUCGGCGUGACGGUAUCCAACCAGAAAGCCACGGCUAACUACGUGCCAGCAGCCGCGGUAAUACGUAGGUGGCAAGCGUUAUCCGGAUUUAUUGGGCGUAAAGCGAGCGCAGGCGGUUUUUUAAGUCUGAUGUGAAAGCCCUCGGCUUAACCGAGGAAGCGCAUCGGAAACUGGGAAACUUGAGUGCAGAAGAGGACAGUGGAACUCCAUGUGUAGCGGUGAAAUGCGUAGAUAUAUGGAAGAACACCAGUGGCGAAGGCGGCUGUCUGGUCUGUAACUGACGCUGAGGCUCGAAAGCAUGGGUAGCGAACAGGAUUAGAUACCCUGGUAGUCCAUGCCGUAAACGAUGAAUGCUAGGUGUUGGAGGGUUUCCGCCCUUCAGUGCCGCAGCUAACGCAUUAAGCAUUCCGCCUGGGGAGUACGACCGCAAGGUUGAAACUCAAAGGAAUUGACGGGGGCCCGCACAAGCGGUGGAGCAUGUGGUUUAAUUCGAAGCAACGCGAAGAACCUUACCAGGUCUUGACAUCUUUUGAUCACCUGAGAGAUCAGGUUUCCCCUUCGGGGGCAAAAU
rnacentral:rRNA from 1 species